rnacentral:rRNA from 1 species
GCGGAGGAAAAGAAACCAACAGGGAUUGCCUCAGUAACGGCGAGUGAAGCGGCAUCAGCUCAAAUUUGAAAUCUGGUCUCACGAUCCGAGUUGUAAUUUGUAGAGAAUGCUUCGGGCGAGGUCCGGUCUAAGUUCCUUGGAACAGGACGUCAUAGAGGGUGAGAAUCCCGUAUGCGACCGGGUGCCUCCGCCCAUGUGAAGCUUCUUCGACGAGUCGAGUUGUUUGGGAAUGCAGCUCAAAAUGGGUGGUAAAUUUCAUCUAAAGCUAAAUACUGGCCAGAGACCGAUAGCGCACAAGUAGAGUGAUCGAAAGAUGAAAAGCACUUUGGAAAGAGAGUUAAACAGUACGUGAAAUUGUUGAAAGGGAAGCGCUUGCAACCAGACUUGCGCGUGGCCGAUCAUCCGGUGUUCUCACCGGUGCACUCGGUUGCGCUCAGGCCAGCAUCGGUUUCGGUGGUUGGAUAAAGGCCCGGGGAAUGUAGCUCCUCUCGGGGAGUGUUAUAGCCCUGGGUGCAAUGCAGCCUACCGGGACCGAGGACCGCGCUUCGGCUAGGAUGCUGGCGUAAUGGUUGUAAGCGACCCGUCUUGAAACACGGACC